UUAAUAAAGCUGUCCCUAAGGAAAAUUCAAGCCUUUGUUUCAGUGCUUUUGUUGUUUUGUGGCAUUUCUAAGAAGAAUCUCCUUUUAAGGUAAGUAAAUUGCACAUAUAUGUAAAUAUUUAAAUUAGUAGAAGAGCAGUUUGAACAGGUAAUUAAGACAAUGUACUCUUAUCUUGUAACAUUUAAUGAAUUUGCCCUUGCCACCUUUCAGACAUUGCAUUCAAACUUGAGGUGCUGGUUUUCAUGACACGCAGGAAAACGAAGUAGAGAGAGAGAGAGACAGGAAACACAGUGGAUUGAGAGGGAAUGAUCUGCAGCAAAGAGCCCACGAGGAAUCAAACCUUUGUAACGAUAUACAGGCUUAACCAGGCUGCAGAGAGGAUCCUCCCAAUCCACAGUGAAGAUGGUCAACAUGCGAGUCCUCAAGCAGAACUUCCUGAACAGCUCAGCUUCCUGAACUGUGUGUCCGUGUGAGACCCGAUGACUCGUUAUG